AAUAUUAGAAUAAAUUGUUUAUUCUGUUAUAAUUUAUGAGGGACUUCCCAUUCUCAACUACCGGAAGUUUCAAAGUUGUUCCAGGGACAACACAGGAAGAAUAAGUGAAGGAUGUUAAUUCAAGGAAACUGCGAAAUGUCAACAUCCCGGGGAAUCGCGUUUCUCCCGCAAAAAUAACAUGUUUCUGAAGAGCAGUUAUAAAGAAAAAAUCGAUGUGCACCUUGCAUUAUAGUCGUCUUUCAUUUCAAGCUGUUACUUAUCCUGGAAAUAACAUUAAACCAACAAAAUACUUAUUUAUCAUUUUUA